CCCAAGAUCCGUGAUGUUCUGGCCUGCUAUGAUCCAGACUCUGACAAGGCUGCUUGCAUCCUGCUGCUCCUAAUGUUGUACUUCAGAGAGUUUGAUGCUUGAAGUUCAUUCACGUGCCACUGCUGUGGACGUCAAUACUGCAGAACUCCCCGGAACCCCCUGCUUGAUCAUUCAAGGUGACAUGAUGAAGCCCUCUGGAUGGCUUAUAUCCAUCAAGGGACAUGUCGUGAUGGGCCCACACCCUUUAUUUUUACACGGAGUAGCACUUUCUUCAGCAGCUAUUACGUAUUCAACCUUGAGUAUCCUACGGCUGGAUCUUCGACGCUG